rnacentral:misc_RNA from 1 species
UGGAAGUGCUAGUUUAACCGUUGAGAUGGAGAGAGGCUAUUAUACAUACAUCAUAAUGACAUAAAACUCUGACAAAAUCCAGCUUUCAAUACAAUCUACAAGUUAAUAUCCGAAUGAUUUUUAUGAGCGAGUCAGAAAAUGGCCAUUUCAACAAGGCAGCUUUCUGCUCAAUGGCGAAAAGUUUUCACAACCUGCUCGAUCCGUCUCCUACAUAGUGGGCAGUUUGUCAAGUGUGAAGAGCACGUCAUGCAACAGCACAUAUGACCACACGGGACAAAAACUGAGUUGUAUUCCUGCUCCAGACAUAUAACACAUAGAUCUGGCAUUAAGAGGUCCUUAUUAUCCACUCCAUUCUCAGCUGUAGCAUCAGAACCUUCAUCCUCAUCUCCUGCUCUUUUAGCAGCAGCAGCAAGAACUCUCCUGCGCAAUUCCCAGUGACGCUUUCUUUCCAUCAUAUAAUGAAAAGUAUGCUUCACAAGUAGAUAUACACCGACAGCAGUAAAACCCAUUGAAGCAUACUUGUACCACCUUGCCCAUCUCCCAAGAUUUGCAAUGAGCUGGUCAAUAGUUUUAUGAGAGAUAUAAAAUGGGCCUUUGUGUGGUCGCUGGAUCCGAACUGUCCCAAUGUCAUCUUUGACAGCCUCGCCAACAACAGUCAAAGGAGUACCAACUGGCAGCACACGUUCAAUCCUC